rnacentral:rRNA from 1 species
UGUUAGUGGAAGCGUCUGGAAAGGCGCGCGAUACAGGGUGACAGCCCCGUACACAAAAGCGCAUGUGCUGUGAGCUCGAUGAGUAGGGCGGGACACGUGGUAUCCUGUCUGAAUAUGGGGGGACCAUCCUCCAAGGCUAAAUACUCCUGACUGACCGAUAGUGAACCAGUACCGUGAGGGAAAGGCGAAAAGAACCCCGGCGAGGGGAGUGAAAAAGAACCUGAAACCGUGUACGUACAAGCAGUGGGAGCCCCACCACUAAGCCAGUGGUGAACUCCACAUCCGCAUCCUUUGCUGAGGAUACGGUUAACGGAGCGAAAGCGACGUUCAACCGCAAAACAAGCAGAGGGGGCUUAGUGGUGGGGUGACUGCGUACCUUUUGUAUAAUGGGUCAGCGACUUAUAUUCUGUAGCAAGGUUAACCGUAUAGGGGAGCCGGAGGGAAACCGAGUCUUAAUUGGGCGUUAAGUUGCAGGGUAUAGACCCGAAACCCGGUGAUCUAGCCAUGGGCAGGUUGAAGGUUGGGUAACACUAACUGGAGGACCGAACCGACUAAUGUUGAAAAAUUAGCGGAUGACCUGUGGCUGGGGGUGAAAGGCCAAUCAAACCGGGAGAUAGCUGGUUCUCCCCGAAAGCUAUUUAGGUAGCGCCUCGUGAAUUCAUCUCCGGGGGUAGAGCACUGUUUCGGCUAGGGGGCCAUCCCGGCUUACCAACCCGAUGCAAACUGCGAAUACCGGAGAAUGUUAUCACGGGAGACACACGGCGGGUGCUAACGUCCGUCGUGAAGAGGGAAACAACCCAGACCGCCAGCUAAGGUCCCAAAGUCAUGGUUAAGUGGGAAACGAUGUGGGAAGGCCCAGACAGCCAGGAUGUUGGCUUAGAAGCAGCCAUCAUUUAAAGAAAGCGUAAUAGCUCACUGGUCGAGUCGGCCUGCGCGGAAGAUGUAACGGGGCUAAACCAUGCACCGAAGCUGCGGCAGCGAACGUAUCACCCAAGACAACUUUACGGAGUUGACGAUUGACGGAGCGAAGCGACGUCAAAGCGUUCAUUAAAGUCGAGUUGGCUUAGGGAUACGUUCGUUGGGUAGGGGAGCGUUCUGUAAGCCUGUGAAGGUGUGUCGUGAGGCAUGCUGGAGGUAUCAGAAGUGCGAAUGCUGACAUAAGUAACGAUAAAGCGGGUGAAAAGCCCGCUCGCCGGAAGACCAAGGGUUCCUGUCCAACGUUAAUCGGGGCAGGGUGAGUCGACCCCUAAGGCGAGGCCGAAAGGCGUAGUCGAUGGGAAACGGGUUAAUAUUCCCGUACUUGGUGUUACUGCGAAGGGGGGACGGAGAAGGCUAUGUUGGCCGGGCGACGGUUGUCCCGGUUUAAGCGUGUAGGUGUGUGUUCCAGGUAAAUCCGGUU